rnacentral:rRNA from 1 species
UAGGGAAUAUUAGUAAUGGGCGAAAGCCUGAACUAGCAACGCCGCGUGUGCGAAGAAGGCCUUCGGGUUGUAAAGCACUUUUUGAGAGGAUGAGGAAGGACGGUACUCUCAGAAUAAGUCUCGGCUAACUACGUGCCAGCAGCCGCGGUAACACGUAGGAGGCAAACGUUAUCCGGAUUUACUGGGCGUAAAGCGCGUGUAGGUGGUUUGGUAAGUAGGGCGUGAAAGCUCCUAGCUCAACUGGGAGAGGCCGUUCUAAACUGCCGAACUAGAGGAUGGUAGAGGGAGGUGGAAUUCCGGGUGUAGCGGUGGAAUGCGCAGAUAUCCGGAGGAACACCAGUGGCGAAAGCGGCCUCCUGGACUAUUCCUGACACUCAGACGCGAAAGCUAGGGUAGCAAACGG